rnacentral:sRNA from 1 species
UAAUGCCCCAGAUGGUAGUGAAAAGCCUUUUUAGGAGAAAAUGUAUUUUUUCUUGGACUUAAAAAGCGACUUUAGAAGCUCUUUUAAGUACUUAGAAAAAAGCAUUUUCGAGAAAAAGCUUGAAACGACAGCUGGAUUAAGG